rnacentral:rRNA from 1 species
AGGACGAACGCUGGCGGCGUGCUUAACACAUGCAAGUCGAGCGGAAAGGCCCUUCGGGGUACUCGAGCGGCGAACGGGUGAGUAACAUGUGAGCAACCUGCCCUCAGCUCUGGGAUAGCUCCGGGAAACCGGAAUUAAUACCGGAUAUGACCCUGACUGACAUCGGUCAGGGUGGAAAGGAUUCCGGCUGAGGAUGGACUCGCGGCCUAUCAGCUAGUUGGUGGAGUAACGGCCCACCAAGGCGACGACGGGUAGCCGGCCUGAGAGGGCGACCGGCCACACUGGGACUGAGACACGGCCCAGACUCCUGCGGGAGGCAGCAGUGGGGAAUAUUGCGCAAUGGGCGAAAGCCUGACGCAGCGACGCCGCGUGGGGGAUGAAUGCCUUCGGGUUGUAAACCCCUUUCAGCAGGGACGAAGCGAGAGUGACGGUACCUGCAGAAGAAGCGCCGGCUAACUACGUGCCAGCAGCCGC